AACAAGAUGGAUUUUAUUACAAAGGGAUAUUACAGAGGAUAACUCCAAACAAACAAGGAAGCCAGGCAGGAAGAGGUGAGAUUUGGAGAAGGUGGAUGAUUUCAGGAGUUAAUAUAUCCACCUGGGAGCUGCCACAGAAGGAGGCGUGCAGGGCAACAGAGGGUGCCAUUGUGCUAAUCAUGCAAGCACUGGUGAGGGUGGUUUUCCUCUGUAAACUCCGAGAUCUAGUAGAUAAAGCAGUGAGGUAUAUUUAUUUAUAAAUCUCCAAGAAGUUGUGUUUGCAAGGCAGAUUUGCCAAUGCAAGCAGGAGGGCAUUGUGCAUAUUUUCAUGUAUCUCUCUCUCUCUAUAUAUAUAUGUAUAUGUAUAAAUUAAUACAUGUUUUUGAAGGGGGUGCAUAAAUGAAGAAAAGCACACCUCCUAGGAGAACUGUAGUAAGUGACUUAAGCACACUUUCCUUCCUAGCGUCAUUUGCAGUCCAUCCACUGAUUUGUUGAUCUGGCAAUCUGCAUGCUCCCUGUUAAGCCCUGUCUCUUCCCCACUCCCCAGUGCUUUGGCAUUGGAAUAUUUCCCUACAAAUCUAUUCUGGCUCAUGGUCCAGCAGAUGAAAGUACUCAGUCACUGGCAGCAUUUGUUUAUAGUAAAAAAUGCCAUAGCUUCGUAUCCAGAUUUAGCCCUUGCUUCUUAGUGCUGUAGAAAAGGGACAUUUUUAGAACUAGAUGCUCAUUCCUAGCUCUCAAGUUAUCAGAAUUUAAAGUUGUAAUGUUCUUACGAACCAAGAGGGCUAUUUUUGAUCAGAGGGAAGGCCUAUGACAGACCAAACACAUUAAAGCCCAUUACUUUAUUAGAAGGAGGGUAAAAAAAUAGUCCUAAUUAAAUAUUUUUGAGCUCUCCUAAGCAUUCCUAAAAUAGCCAUUUGUGUAAGGGAAGGGGCAUAAGCAGAAUGCGUGACAAGGAGGCACAGUUUUUGAGGCACUCCUUUAGCUGCCUGUGUUAUUCAUACCACUUGCUAUGUGCCCAGCCCAAAGCCCAGCUGAUAAAAGCCUCCUGCCCCUUCUGCCAUCUACGCCUUACCAAGAUGUCACAGCCAGGCACUUGUGAAUGCAGGAGAAGACACUCAGUGAGUAAAAUCACUGAUGCCCUUUAGAUCACCCUAAAGCAGGCCGAGGUCUUAAAAGCUUAAGAGGAGAAGCUGAGCCGUACAAAUGUUGGUGUAAAAGCUCUGUUGUACAAACAAGAGCCGCGUUCCAAAGAUGCUGCCACCUUGGAUUUCACUAAAAACAACACCCCCCUUGCAACUGCUGAAUUAUUUAGACUGUGAAUUCUCAGGACAGGCAACCUUUAUUUUGAGUCUUGUGCUUUACAAAUCACUUACAUGUGGUGAAACGUUCAUCCAGCCAGGCUCAGGGAAAGGUUUCUGCAGAUUCAGGAGUCCUGCAGGCUCUAAAACCUCUUUCCUACCAGAACACAGACUUAGGUACACGUUGUGUUGUUAAAAUGCAAAUUUGAAGACAAAUUUGGGUUUCUGCCUUGUCUGAAAGGCAAUAUGGACUUAGAUCCCAUUACCUCUCUAUGGAAUAGGAACACCAGUGGUGUCCUAAGUCGAGGACGAUGUCACGUUAGGCACUCAGAGGUUGCAGCAAUGAGAGCAGCUAAGCUUCUAACUAGCACUGGAGUUUUGUCCCUGAAAGAUUUUUCUAAUCAGAAACGUGCUUAGGAAACAAAUCUGUGUGCUAUACAAGUUGUUCCUGCUAUAUGACUAAUCUGGAAAUAUUGGUUUCCCUUGAGUUUUGCUUUGAAGGUGAAGAGGAUCAGGCCUGCAACAAAAAUCUCAUGAACAGAGAAAUAGAAUUAUUAAAUGUGAGAUGGUCCAACAAGAAUUGCCCCAAAGCGGCUGUGGUUUGGAGGAAUGGGUGAAACCUUUGAGUUUCUAUCCUAUGGAAAAUUCUGACAUUUCAGACCCUGUUUCCACUCUCAGGAAGAACUGAAAGAACAUGUAUAGAAAUUCCAGUAAAAAAAUGUUAUUGCCCAUCACCUGAACCAUCCCCUUUUGAAUAUAGCUGAAUGAUUUUUUGCUAGAUUGUUUCUUUUCCCCCCUCUUCCUAUCACAAUAAACAUAUAUUUUAAGUUUCCUGUAAUUUUCUUUAAAAAGUUAAUCAAAAUUGUCAUGUCCCCAUGGAAGUUUUUUUGUUUGGACAAAACAGUGUUAUUCUGACCAAAAAAAAUACAAGCGCUUAGCCAGAAGUUAUCAUCUAGCUCUAGUCUUUUCCUGCCUUGAUUUCUGCCAAGUUCAUGAACUCUGAGACAUGGAGGAGACCCACACACCUCUUCUAAAGGUCUUUUUCCAACAGUAAAACCUUUUGCCACAGAAAUCUUUUGCUGUGAAUGAGGCUAGUCACUGACUUGAGCAGCACUCUGACCUGGUAAAAGAAGACUCCGUAGAGAGUCAUUCCUAGUCAGAGGGCUUCUUAGGCUGGGAAAGAGCUGGCUGUGGCCAAGAUGCUCAGACUUUCUCACCUACAGGAUUACACCUUCACUUGAAACUCUACCACUUAACACUAGGGUUAGUCUUCUAUGCCACAUUCAUCCAGUGAUCUGGAAUAUCAGAAAAACCUAAAAAAAAAUAGUGCAUUACAUCUGUAAGAAAUGCUAUGUAAUCAGAUAUGUUGUCCACCCUGGGCUGCUAUUACUCUAUCACUCUAUGC